AAUUUUUCGCAAUGGGGGAAACCCUGACGCAGCGACGCCGCGUGAGCGACGAAGGCCUUCGGGUCGUAAAGCUCAGUCAUUGGGGAUGAAAAGGACAGUACCCAAAGAGGAAGCCCCGGCUAACUACGUGCCAGCAGCCGCGGUAAUACGUAGGGGGCGAGCGUUGUCCGGAAUUACUGGGUGUAAAGGGCGUGUAGGCGGGGAUACAAGUUACCGGUAAAAACCCGAGGCUCAACCACGGGCUUGCCGAUAAAACUGUAUUUCUUGAGUGUAGGAGAGGGAAGUGGAAUUCCUGGAGUAGCGGUGAAAUGCGUAGAUACCAGGAGGAACACCAGUGGCGAAGGCGGCUUCCUGGCCUAUCACUGACGCUGAGGCGCGAAAGCUAGGGUAGCGAAC
rnacentral:rRNA from 1 species